GUGCACCAGUCGCGAAAACUUCACACUGUGCGAAAGCACGAUGAGGGAAUCCCAAGUGCUUGCACGUAAGUGUAAGCUGUUUCUCUGUCUAAAACGCAGAGAGAGUAAGGGCUGGGUAAGACGGGUGCCAGCCGCCGCGGUAAUACCUGCAGCUCAAGUGGUGACCGUUAUUAUUGGGCCUAAAACGUCCGUAGCCGGUUUAAUAAAUGCCUGGGUAAAUUGUGUAGCUUAACUAUACGAAUUCCGGGUAGACUGUUAAACUUGAGACCGGGAGAAGUUAGAGGUACUCCUGGGGUAGAGGUGAAAUUCUGUAAUCCUAGGGGGACCACCAGUGGCGAAGGCGUCUAACUAGAACGGGUCUGACGGUGAGGGACGAAGCCCUGGGGCGCAAACGGG
rnacentral:rRNA from 1 species